GAUGAACGCUGGCGGUAUGCUUAACACAUGCAAGUCGAACGGACUCUUCGGAGUUAGUGGCGGACGGGUGAGUAACGCGUGAGAAUCUGGCUUCUGGUUCGGGAUAACGGUGGGAAACGACUGCUAAUACCGGAUGUGCCUGCGGGUAAAAGGCUUGCUGCCAGAAGAUGAGCUCGCGUCUGAUUAGCUAGUUGGUGGGGUAAGAGCCUACCAAGGCGACGAUCAGUAGCUGGUCUGAGAGGAUGAUCAGCCACACUGGGACUGAGACACGGCCCAGACUCCUACGGGAGGCAGCAGUGGGGAAUUUUCCGCAAUGGGCGAAAGCCUGACGGAGCAAUACCGCGUGAGGGAAGAAGGCUCUUGGGUUGUAAACCUCUUUUCUCAGGGAAUAAGAAAGUGAAGGUACCUGAGGAAUCAGCAUCGGCUAACUCCGUGCCAGCAGCCGCGGUAAUACGGAGGAUGCAAGCGUUAUCCGGAAUGAUUGGGCGUAAAGCGUCCGCAGGUGGUUAUUCAAGUCUGCCGUUAAAGAGUCUGGCUUAACCAGAUAAAGGCGGUGGAAACUGAAAGACUAGAGUGCGGUAGGGGCAGAGGGAAUUCCCAGUGUAGCGGUGAAAUGCGUAGAGAUUGGGAA
rnacentral:rRNA from 1 species